rnacentral:rRNA from 1 species
GAUGAACGCUGGCGGCGUGCCUAAUACAUGCAAGUCGAGCGAACGGACGAGAAGCUUGCUUCUCUGAUGUUAGCGGCGGACAGGUGAGUAACACGUGGAUAACCUACCUAUAAGACUGGGAUAACUUCGGGAAAACGUAGCUAUAAUCGGAUUAUAUUUUGAACCGCAUGGUUCAAAAGUGAAAGACGGUCUUGCUGUCACUUAUAUAUGGAUCCGCGCUGCAUUAGCUAGUUGGUAAGGUAACGGCUUACCAAGGCAACGAUGCAUAGCCGACCUGAGAGGGUGAUCGGCCACACUGGAACUGAGACACGGUCCAGACUCCUACGGGAGGCAGCAGUAGGGAAUCUUCCGCAAUGGGCGAAAGCCUGACGGAGCAACGCCGCGUGAGUGAUGAAGGUCUUCGGAUCGUAAAACUCUGUUAUUAGGGAAGAACAUAUGUGUAAGUAACUGUGCACAUCUUGACGGUACCUAAUCAGAUAGCCACGGCUAACUACGUG